GACGAACGCUGGCGGCGUGCCUAAUACAUGCAAGUAGAACGCUGAAGAGAGGAGCUUGCUCUUCUUGGAUGAGUUGCGAACGGGUGAGUAACGCGUAGGUAACCUGCCUGGUAGCGGGGGAUAACUAUUGGAAACGAUAGCUAAUACCGCAUAAAAUUGAUUAUUGCAUGAUAAUUAAUUGAAAGAUGCAACUGCAUCACUACCAGAUGGACCUGCGUUGUAUUAGCUAGUUGGUGAGGUAACGGCUCACCAAGGCGACGAUACAUAGCCGACCUGAGAGGGUGAUCGGCCACGCUGGGACUGAGACACGGCCCAGACUCCUACGGGAGGCAGCAGUAGGGAAUCUUCGGCAAUGGGGGGAACCCUGACCGAGCAACGCCGCGUGAGUGAAGAAGGUUGUCGGAUCGUAAAGCUCUGUUGUAAGAGAAGAACGGGUGUGAGAGUGGAAAGUUCACACUGUGACGGUAUCUUACCAGAAAGGGACGGCUAACUACGUG
rnacentral:rRNA from 1 species